rnacentral:rRNA from 1 species
AUUGAACGCUGGCGGCAGGCCUAACACAUGCAAGUCGAACGAGAGGCGGACGGGUGAGUAAUGUCUGGGAAACUGCCCGAUGGGGGGGGAUAACAAAUGGAAAAGGUAGCUAAUAUCGCAUACCAUCGGAUGUGCGCAGAUGGGGUUAGCUAGUCGGUGGGGGAACGGCUCACCUAGGCGACGAUCCCUAGCUGGUCUUAGAGGAUGACCAGCCACACUGGAACUGAGACACGGUCCAGACUCCUACGGGAGGCAGCAGUGGGGAAUAUUGCACAAUGGGCGCAAGCCUGAUACAGCCAUGCCGCGUUGAUGAAGAAGGCCUUCGGGUUGUAAAGUACUUUCAGCGAGGAGGCGUUACUCGCAGAAGAAGCACCGGCUAACUCCGUGCCAGCAGCCGCGGUAAUAC